GAGUUUGAUCGUGGCUCAGAUUGAACGCUGGCGGCAUGCCUUACACAUGCAAGUCGAACGGUAACAGGUCUUCGGAUGCUGACGAGUGGCGAACGGGUGAGUAAUACAUCGGAACGUGCCCAGACGUGGGGGGAUAACGAGGCGAAAGCUUUGCUAAUACCGCAUACGAUCUAAGGAUGAAAGCAGGGGACCGCAAGGCCCUUGCGCGUUUGGAGCGGCCGAUGGCAGAUUAGGUAGUUGGUGGGAUAAAAGCUUACCAAGCCGACGAUCUGUAGCUGGUCUGAGAGGACGACCAGCCACACUGGGACUGAGACACGGCCCAGACUCCUACGGGAGGCAGCAGUGGGGAACUUUGGACAAUGGCGAAAGCCUGAUCCAGCAAUGCCGCGUGCAGG
rnacentral:rRNA from 1 species